AUUGAACGCUGGCGGCAUGCUUUACACAUGCAAGUCGAACGGUAACAGGGUGCUUGCACCGCUGACGAGUGGCGAACGGGUGAGUAAUGCGUCGGAACGUGCCGAGUAGUGGAGGAUAACGCAGCGAAAGUUGUGCUAAUACCGCAUACGUACUGAGGUAGAAAGUGGGGGACCUUCGGGCCUCACGCUAUUCGAGCGGCCGACGUCUGAUUAGCUAGUAGGUGAGGUAAAGGCUCACCUAGGCGACGAUCAGUAGCGGGUCUGAGAGGAUGAUCCGCCACACUGGGACAGAGACACGGCCCAGACUCCUACGGGAGGCAGCAGUGGGGAAUUUUGGACAAUGGGCGAAAGCCUGAUCCAGCCAUGCCGCGUGUCUGAAGAAGGCCUUCGGGUUGUAAAGGACUUUUGUCAGGGAGGAAAUCCCUAGCGUUAAUACCGCUGGGGGAUGACAGUACCUGAAGGAUAAGCACCGGCUAACUACGUGCCAGCCGCCGCCGUAACAC
rnacentral:rRNA from 1 species